rnacentral:rRNA from 1 species
GUAGGUAACCUGCCUUGUANCGGGGGNGUAACUAUUGGAACGAUAGCUAAUACCGCAUAACAAUGGAUGACACAUGUCAUUUAUUUGAAAGGGGCAAUUGCUCCACUACAAGAUGGACCUGCGUUGUAUUAGCUAGUAGGUGAGGUAAUGGCUCACCUAGGCGACGAUACAUAGCCGACCUGAGAGGGUGAUCGGCCACACUGGGACUGAGACACGGCCCAGACUCCUACGGGAGGCAGCAUG